rnacentral:rRNA from 1 species
UACAGAGGCCACAAGCGUUAGUCGGAAUCACUGGGCUUAAAGGGUGCGUAGGCGGGUCCGUAAGUGCUUCGUGAAAUCCCCCGGCUCAACCGGGGAAUUGCGGGGCAGACUGCGGACCUUGAGGCAGGUAGGGGCCGCGAGAACAGUAGGUGGAGCGGUGAAAUGCGUAGAUAUCUACUGGAAUGCCGAUGGUGAAGACGCGCGGCUGGGCCUGUCCUGACGCUGAGGCACGAAAGCGUGGGGAGCAAACAGG